GCUUCUUCCAUCAUAAUCAAUAUACCUUGAAGAAUGAGGCGUGUACGGCGAAGAGCUUGGAAGUGAUGGAUCCCCAUAGUUGUAUGAAUGCCUUGGUUGCAGCUUGCUUCUUUCAUCAUACUCUACAUAUCUUGAAGAAUGAAACGAGUAUGGCGAAGAGCUUGGGAGUGAUGGAGCCCCAUGAUUGUAUGAAUCAUGUUGGUAGUGACCUUGAUGCCUUGACAGUUUGCUUCCCAUAAUUCAGAUACCCAAUCGUCUUUAAUGAAGCCUAAUCUCUGGUGAAACAGCAGAAAUACAGAAUUUCAG
rnacentral:misc_RNA from 1 species